AGUGAACGCUGGCGGUAGGCCUAACACAUGCAAGUCGAACGGCAGCACAGUAAGAGCUUGCUCUUACGGGUGGCGAGUGGCGGGCGGGUGAGGAAUACAUCGGAAUCUACUUUUUCGUGGGGGAUAACGUAGGGAAACUUACGCUAAUACCGCAUACGACCUACGGGUGAGAGCAGGGGAUCUUCGGACCUUGCGCGAUUGAAUGAGCCGAUGUCGGAUUAGCUAGUUGGCGGGGUAAAGGCCCACCAAGGCGACGAUCCGUAGCUGGUCUGAGAGGAUGAUCAGCCACACUGGAACUGAGACACGGUCCAGACUCCUACGGGAGGCAGCAGUGGGGAAUAUUGGACAAUGGGCGCAAGCCUGAUCCAGCCAUACCGCGUGGGUGAAGAAGGCCUUCGGGUUGUAAAGCCCUUUUGUUGGGAAAGAAAAGCAGCAGGUUAAUACCCCGCUGUUCUGACGGUACCCAAAGAAUAAGCACCGGCUAACUUCGUG
rnacentral:rRNA from 1 species